rnacentral:rRNA from 1 species
GGGCCCGCACAAGCGGUGGAGCAUGUUGCUUAAUUCGAGGCAACGCGAAGAACCUUACCCGGGUUUGACAUGCACCGGACUUGCCGUGAAAGCGGUAUUCCCUUCGGGGCCGGUGCACAGAUGCUGCAUGGCUGUCGUCAGCUCGUGCCGUGAGGUGUUCGGUUAAGUCCGGCAACGAGCGCAACCCGUGCCGUCAGUUGCCAUCAGGUGAUGCUGGGUACUCUGGCGGGACUGCCCGUGUCAAGCGGGAGGAAGGCGCGGAUGACGUCAAGUCCGUAUGGCUCUUACGCCCGGGGCUGCAAACGUGCUACAAUGGCCGGUACAAUGGGAUGCCAGCCCGCGAGGGCGAGCGGAUCCUCAAAACCGGCCCCAGUUCGGAUCGCAGUCUGCAACCCGACUGCGUGAAGUCGGAAUCGCUAGUAAAGGGACAUCAGCAACGGUCCCUUGAAUACGUUCCCGGGCCUU